rnacentral:rRNA from 1 species
AGCGGACGCUGGCGGCAGGCCUAACACAUGCAAGUCGAACGAAGUCUUCGGACUUAGUGGCGGACGGGUGAGUAACACGUGGGAACGUGCCUUUAGGUUCGGAAUAACUCAGGGAAACUUGUGCUAAUACCGAAUGUGCCCUUCGGGGGAAAGAUUUAUCGCCUUUAGAGCGGCCCGCGUCUGAUUAGCUAGUUGGUGAGGUAAAGGCUCACCAAGGCUACGAUCAGUAGCUGGUCUGAGAGGAUGACCAGCCACAUUGGGACUGAGACACGGCCCAAACUCCUACGGGAGGCAGCAGUGGGGAAUCUUGCGCAAUGGGCGAAAGCCUGACGCAGCCAUGCCGCGUGGAUGAUGAAGGUCUUAGGAUUGUAAAAUCCUUUCACCGGUGAAGAUAAUGACUGUAGCCGGAGAAGAAGCCCCGGCUAACUUCGUGCCAGCAGCCGCCGUAA